rnacentral:rRNA from 1 species
CCCUUCGGGGUGAGUAAAGCGGCGCACGGGUGAGUAACACGUAGAUAACCUUCCCUUUUGUGGGGAAUAACCAACCGAAAGGUUGGCUAAUACCGCAUAAGUUCUCCGAACGAUGGUUCGGUUAAGAAAGGGGGCUUCGGCUCUCGCAGAAGGAUGGGUCUGCGUCCGAUUAGCUAGUUGGUGAGGUAAUGGCUCACCAAGGCGACGAUCGGUAACUGGUCUGAGAGGACGACCAGUCACACUGGAACUGAAACACGGUCCAGACUCCUACGGGAGGCAGCAGUGGGGAAUAUUGCGCAAUGGAGGAAACUCUGACGCAGCGACGCCGCGUGAGUGAUGAAGGCUUUCGGGUUGUAAAGCUCUGUCAGCAGGGAAGAAAUACUUUGUGCUAAUACCACAAGGCGAUGACGGUACCUGCAGAGGAAGCACCGGCUAACUCUGUGCCAGCAGCCGCGGUAAUACAGAGGGUGCGAGCGUUGUUCGGAAUUACUGGGCGUAAAGAGCGUGUAGGCGGUCUACCAAGUCAGAUGUGAAAUCCUGGGGCUCAACUCCAGAAGUGCAUUUGAAACUAGUAGGCUUGAGUGAUGUAGAGGAUGGCGGAAUACCCAGUGUAGAGGUGAAAUUCGUAGAGAUUGGGUAGAACACCGGUGGCGAAGGCGGCCAUCUGGGCAUUAACUGACGCUGAGACGCGAAAGCGUGGGGAGCAAACAGGAUUAGAUACCCUGGUAGUCCACGCCCUAAACGAUGGAUACUCGCUG